rnacentral:rRNA from 1 species
GACGAACGCUGGCGGCGUGCUUAACACAUGCAAGUCGAACGGAAAGGCCCUGCUUUUGUGGGGUGCUCGAGUGGCGAACGGGUGAGUAACACGUGAGUAACCUGCCCUUGACUUUGGGAUAACUUCAGGAAACUGGGGCUAAUACCGGAUAGGAGCUCCUGCUGCAUGGUGGGGGUUGGAAAGUUUCGGCGGUUGGGGAUGGACUCGCGGCUUAUCAGCUUGUUUGUGGGGUAGUGGCUUACCAAGGCUUUGACGGGUAGCCGGCCUGAGAGGGUGACCGGCCACAUUGGGACUGAGAUACGGCGCAGACUCCUACGGGAGGCAGCAGUGGGGAAUAUUGCACAAUGGGCGGAAGCCUGAUGCAGCAACGCCGCGUGCGGGAUGACGGCCUUCGGGUUGUAAACCGCUUUCGCCUGUGACGAAGCGUGAGUGACGGUAAUGGGUAAAGAAGCACCGGCUAACUACGUG